rnacentral:rRNA from 1 species
GAUGAACGCAGGCGGCGUGCCUAAUACAUGCAAGUAGAACGCUGAAGCUUGGUGCUUGCACCGAGCGGAAGAGUUGCGAACGGGUGAGUAACGCGUAGGUAACCUGCCUCUUAGCGGGGGAUAACUAUUGGAAACGAUAGCUAAUACCGCAUAAAAGUCGGCAUUGCAUGAUGUUGACUUGAAAGGUGCAACUGCAUCACUAAGAGAUGGACCUGCGUUGUAUUAGCUAGUUGGUGAGGUAACGGCUCACCAAGGCGACGAUACAUAGCCGACCUGAGAGGGUGAUCGGCCACACUGGGACUGAGACACGGCCCAGACUCCUACGGGAGGCAGCAGUAGGGAAUCUUCGGCAAUGGACGGAAGUCUGACCGAGCAACGCCGCGUGAGUGAAGAAGGUUUUCGGAUCGUAAAGCUCUGUUGUAAGAGAAGAACGAGUGUGAGAGUGGAAAGUUCACACUGUGACGGUAACUUACCAGAAAGGGACGGCUAACUACGUGCCAGCAGCCGCGGUAAUACGUAGGUCCCGAGCGUUAUCCGGAUUUAUUGGGCGUAAAGCGAGCGCAGGCGGUUAGAUAAGUCUGAAGUUAAAGGCUGUGGCUUAACCAUAGUACGCUUUGGAAACUGUUUAACUUGAGUGCAGAAGGGGAGAGUGGAAUUCCAUGUGUAGCGGUGAAAUGCGUAGAUAUAUGGAGGAACACCGGUGGCGAAAGCGGCUCUCUGGUCUGUAACUGACGCUGAGGCUCGAAAGCGUGGGGAGCAAACAGG